rnacentral:lncRNA from 1 species
UAGAGGAUUGGGCAACCGGAGCCAUAGUGAGCCUUGCUUCUCCCCUGUAGGACUGGGGUGGCUGGGGGCUCUCAAAUAGAUUUAAGCCAGGACUUGAUUAGGCAAGCAGGAUUCUGGGGAGGGAGAGGUCGUGGAUGGGGAAAAUGCAGUAUGGGAGGAAGAACAGCAAGAGUCAGGCUGUUGGUCUGAAGUACGACAAAGUAACUGGGUGAGGCAAGAGCUGUCACAGAGAGGCCUGGGCCUAGAUUUGCUCCUGGUGUGUGUUUGUGGAGAGCGAGUGGGAAACGGCCAAGUGGAGCAGAUAAAUGGGGCUCUUGGCUUUGAGUCUUUGAAUGCUUCUGAGGUAAGAGGCGGCAUAGGAGGAGAGUCUUCUACCCCAGAGUAAUCCCUUGGUGAUCCUCCCACACCUUCCCCGAACAUGUGCCAUGAGCUCACGAGCCAGGAGGGCUAGCUUACCCCAGGACCAGUGGAAAUGGAAGCCCUUGGGAUCAGCAAUGUUACUGACUUGGGUUCUGACACCACAAGUAUUGACAUAGAUAGACAGACCUGAUUCUCCCCUUUUUAGGGAAAAGUUGUGCUCUUACAGAAAAAUGGGUAGAAUUCUUCAUUAUCUCUUGAAAUACACUUGCCUAGAUAUGGGAGGAUCUCAUCUUCCUAAAAAUUUCAAGAAAGUGGCAAGUGUAGUCUGAGGAAUACGUGAUAGCCCUCAUGAUUGAUUUGAAGGUCUUCCUUAAAAACUAGCUUCCCCAGACCAGGGCAAUAGUUACUGGGAUUUCAAUAUUAGAGAUUCAUUCUUUAGCAUUGACUCCAACAUUAACAGUGCAACUUACCUUUAGCAUGUGAAAUACUGCUCAGGAAAACCCUGCACAUGACUUCAGUGUAAAUUAACUCAGCAGUUCAAGGCCCUAUGUCAGCUCUGAAUGAGGAUGAGUGGGGAAGGAAAACCGAGAGUAAAAGCAUUGUGCAGCAUUUUGAGAGGAGAGAAGAAACGCAAGGUGAGGCUGAUGUCUUAUUGCGGAGAGCAGUCCUAGAAAAGUGUUACUUGUCUGCUUCUGAGAAAGCACAGAAGAGCGUGAGCAGCCUUGGUGCUGGGUAACAUCCUGCAUGUCUAGGGAAAGGCACAGAGGAUGGAAGCCUAUCCUUAGAGUGGGUUAUAAUUUUAUUAACAAAAUUACCAUGUAUUUAUACAGUAAUUGAAUUUAUACAAUUCCAGUGUGCUCCCAUAGGUGAUAUUUCACUUCCUCCUCGGACUGCUGUGAUGAAGUAGGACAGAUACUGUGACAGGCGAUUAUAGGGAAGAUGAAGGCUCGUGAAGGUUAACUGGUUUUCCGGAGGUCAUAAUGGCAGAGGUGGUUCAUUUGAAAACCUCCGUGGACCUGGGACAUCGGAAGAUGAAGCUGGCAGUGGUUGACAUGGUGGUGGUGCUAUCAGUGGUGGUGCUGCCAGGGUCUGUAAAUUCUCUGAAAUGGUAUUUAAAGUUUGUUACUACAUUUUCAAAGUGGUCCCUGAACCACAAAACUUAUAAGACUUUUCAGUGUGUGACUGGAGUGGCAUCGAAAAAAAGUUCACCCAAUACAGCUCUCUGGGGAUAAGAAGGGACCCAUAAGAGGAGUGUGGGGUCCAGGCUGGGAGUGGCAGCCCCCCUGCUUCCAAUAUUGCUUAAAGGACCCUCCUCAAGUAGCAGGCAAUGUCGGUAGGUGGACAUCGAUCUUUCACCUUCAUUACCUUCCAAAUGCUCACAGGUACUGUGAGCCUGGUACAGUACCAGCAUUUUUGUCACAUGGAAGACUAAAUUUAAGAAAACCGGAUUAGGACUUACUGUAUAGCACAGGGAAUUAAACUCAAUAUUCUGUAGUAACCUACAAAGGAGAAUAUUCGAAUCACUUUGCUGUACACCUAAAACUAACACAACACGGUACAUCAACUCUACUUCAAUAAAGAAAAAAAAAAGCAGAUUAAAAAUCCAUUUAAAAGAUAAAUAUGGGGGCAGUUCCCAUCGUGGCUCAGCAGAAAUGAAUCUGACUAGUAUCCAUGAGGAUGUGGGUUUGAUCCUGGGCCUUGCUCUGUGGGUUAAGGAUCCAGCGUUGCCAUGAGCUGAGGUGUAGGCUGCAGAUGCAGCGUGGAUUCCAUGUUGCUGUGGCUGUGGUGCAGGCUAGCAGCUGUAGCUCUGAUUCAGUUCCUAGCCUGGGAACUUCUAUAUGCUGUGGGUGAGGCCCUAAAAAGCACAUAAGUAAAUAAAUAAAAAUUAAAAAAAGCAAAAAGAUAAAUAUGGGGAUGGAAGCAAUUCUCUAUAAAAUGAUGUAAAGUAUCUUUUCAAAGAGGUUUAUUUUACAAAAUGUUAAUUUAUAGCCUUGUUAUGAUCUUGUAAACUACUUAGAAAUACUUGGGUAUAAUGAGAACCACACUCUGUGUUAGUUUAGGCCAAUCUCAGGUGCAGGUCAAGAAGAUCUAUGUAGGAGACGGCCAGCCGGAGCUCUAUCAGAAAGACUUCACAUCUUCUACAACCUCCUUGUUCCACUAUCACUGCUUCGCCAGUUUUUAUAUUAGGUAUCAAAAGUGGGUUUUUAUUGAUAAAACUAGAGUCUUGUUAAUUACUCCACACUGGUGAAUUUAAAGGGAUUCAAGAUGUGUAAAUUUGAGCUCCGAGGUGCUCUUUCUCUGUGAAUGAACAGGACCUAAGAGUCAUCAAAAUGAUAGGCCCAUUCCCUUGGGGAUAUUUUCUUUGAUUGAGCCCCAUUUGGUCCUACCCCCUGCCACUGGUUUAAGCGAUGAGACGGUGCCCCUUACAAUGUUUUGACACUUGCCCAGGAAUACUUCUGUGUCUGCUUUGAAUGAACAUCCUAUAUGACGUGUUUGGAGGACCUCAAGGAACAGAGCUGGGACUUGGUCAAGUUUGGAGAGCCAGCUGAUGAACUGUUCUGAGCCUGCUUGGUUAAUGAACGUUUAUCAAAUAGGCGACUGUGUGUGAGAAUCUGGCCUGAGAUUUGCUCUCAUUGUAACUCCCUAACGAGGUGCAGAGGAAAGUUAACUACUGCUUAUUCAAACGUUUUUGAAGGCUACUGUAAUCUACCAAACCAAAGCAAACUAAACCACAUCAAAGUAAAGUAAACCAAACCAUGCGGCAGUUUGUCGGAGAGAGCUCCCC